rnacentral:rRNA from 1 species
AACGAACGCUGGCGGCAGGCUUAACACAUGCAAGUCGAACGCAUCCUUCGGGGUGAGUGGCAGACGGGUGAGUAACGCGUGGGAACGUGCCCUUCAGUUCGGAAUAACCCAGGGAAACUUGGGCUAAUACCGGAUACGUGCGAGAGCAGAAAGAUUUAUCGCUGAAGGAUCGGCCCGGGUCUGAUUAGCUAGUUGGUGAGGUAAUGGCUCACCAAGGCGACGAUCAGUAGCUGGUCUGAGAGGAUGAUCAGCCACAUUGGGACUGAGACACGGCCCAAACUCCUACGGGAGGCAGCAGUGGGGAAUAUUGGACAAUGGGCGUAAGCCUGAUCCAGCCAUGCCGCGUGAGUGAUGAAGGCCUUAGGGUUGUAAAGCUCUUUCAGUGGGGACGAUAAUGACGGUACCCGCAGAAGAAGCCCCGGCUAACUUCGUGCCAGCCGCCGCCGUAA